rnacentral:rRNA from 1 species
UACAGAGGUCUCAAGCGUUGUCCGGAUUUACUGGGCGUAAAGAGCGCGCAGGCGGUCGUUCAAGUCGCGUGUGAAAGCCCCCGGCUCAACUGGGGAGGGUCACGCGAUACUGAUCGACUCGAAGGCAGGAGAGGGAAGUGGAAUUCCCGGUGUAGUGGUGAAAUGCGUAGAUAUCGGGAAGAACACCAAAGGCGAAAGCGCUCUGCUGGGCCGAAACUGACACUGAGAGACGAAAGCUAGGGGAGCGAAUGGG